rnacentral:rRNA from 1 species
GUUAGCGGCGGACGGGUGAGUAACACGUGGAUAACCUACCUAUAAGACUGGGAUAACUUCGGGAAACCGGAGCUAAUACCGGAUAAUAUAUUGAACCGCAUGGUUCAAUAGUGAAAGACGGUUUUGCUGUCACUUAUAGAUGGAUCCGCGCCGCAUUAGCUAGUUGGUAAGGUAACGGGUUACCAAGGCAACGAUGCGUAGCCGACCUGAGAGGGUGAUCGGCCACACUGGAACUGAGACACGGUCCAG